rnacentral:rRNA from 1 species
GAUGAACGCUGACCGAAUGCUUAACACAUGCAAGUCUUUGGCGAAUCUGUGCUUGCACAGGCUAGCCAAGGCGGACGGGUGAGUAACGCGUAAAGAACUUGCCCUGCAGACAGGGAUAACAGACGGAAACGACUGAUAACACCUGAUACAGUUGCCGGCACGCAUGUGCCUGGCAAUGAAAAGAGAUGCUGCAGGAGAGCUUUGCGUCCUAUUAGCUUGUUGGUGAGGUGACGGCUCACCAAGGCGAUGAUAGGUAGCCGGCCUGAGAGGGUGAACGGCCACAAGGGGACUGAGAUACGGCCCUUACGCCUACGGGAGGCAGCAGUGGGGAAUAUUGGACAAUGGGGGCAACCCUGAUCCAGCAAUUCUGUGUGCACGAAGAAGGUUUUCGGAGUGUAAAGUGCUUUCAGCAGGGAAGAAGAAAGUGACGGUACCUGCAGAAGAAGCGACGGCUAAAUACGUG